rnacentral:rRNA from 1 species
CACAUAGAGGCAGCAGUAGAGAAUCUUGUGCAUAAACGAAAGUAUGACACAGAGAGGACACAUUUAAUUGAGCCCGUCAAAUUAAGUGCCAGCCGACGCGGUUAAACUUAAGGGCUGGUCUUUAUAAGUAAAAAGGCGUAAAGGAUGUGUAGGCCAAGAAACGAUCCAAGUAGGUAAAUGGAAUUUUUCUGGAGCGGUAGAAUGUGAGGAUAGAAAAUAGAACCCCUAAGGUAAAAACUAUUUACUACAAGGUAGGCUGAAACAUGAGAGUGUGGGGAGCAAACAGGAUUAGAGACCCUGGUAGUCCACACUGUGAACUUUGAAGAUGAUGCUUAGCAGACCCGAAAGGUAAAAUCUUCCGCCUGAGUAGUACGAUCGCAAGAUUAAAAUUCAAAAACUUUGGCUGUUCACUAUUUCGAUUAGAGGAGCGUGUAGUUUAAUUCGAUGGUCCGCGUGUUACCUUACCCCAACUUGAAUCUGUGACCGGUAUUGCAUGGCCGUCGUAAGUUACGUGUAUUAAGCUAGAAGGGACCCAACCCGGGCAUUUGCCCGGAGGAAGUCAGGUCUUAUGAUCCGAAUGUUGGGGGAUUUUAUGCGCUACAUUUUCUUAUAUAAUGAGAAACCUGGAAGGUGAAUCUCUAAAGUAAGAGUUCGGAAGGUCGCUGUAAGACGACUGGAAGUUGGAUUUAAUAGUAAUCGGAAAGUAGGGCGUUCCGGUGAAUUGGUACAAGUGUUAGCACAAAUUGCCCGUCACCUUUACUUAGAAUGG